rnacentral:rRNA from 1 species
CACGUAGGGCGCAAGCGUUGUCCGGAAUUAUUGGGCGUAAAGAGCUCGUAGGCGGUCUGUUGCGUCUGCUGUGAAAACCCGGGGCUUAACCCCUGGCUUGCAGUGGAUACGGACAGACUAGAGGUAGGUAGGGGAGAAUGGAAUUCCCGGUGUAGCGGUGAAAUGCGCAGAUAUCAGGAGGAACACCAAUGGCGAAGGCAGCACUCUGGGACGUGACUGACGCUGAGACGCGAAAGCGUGGGGAGCAAACAGG